CACCUGCUGGUGUAGCGGUAAGCACGCAGUGUACGCUUAAUGAGCCUGAAGGCCUGGUUCAAAUCCGGGACAGGUGA